GUUCGUUCGUGGUUUGCAUGUGGAUUGUGAUGCGAGUAAGUUGGUUCUUUAUUCUAUGUGCGAGUUCUCGAAUGGAGAACUUUGGAUCGUGUUUGCAAGAACGGCAGCAACAACAGCGCUUUAUUUCAAGCACCUAUCUGCACUUGGAGGUUGCACUUGAAACUGUGCUAAUGGUAGUCCCGUGCCCUUUCUCACUUCAGGAGAAUUUGAAGGCGAGUCAUUGAAUGUGAGCUUGAAGAAUAGCUGAAACCAUUGAGCCCACCAAUCUCUGUGUAAACAGCUGCAUCUUUCCCUGACAUGGCACCAAGAAGGAAGUUCCAUACCCGUGAUCUCAUCGUCCAACUUUCUGCUUGGGAGUCCCAGUUGCGAAUAGAAGAAUGCAACCAAGUAUUCCAGGGUGAAAAUCAAGCGUAUCUAGUUAGAAGAAAUGGUGGGCCAGCUGAUCAAAACAUAGCUCCAGGGCCCACAGCGAGCUCUUUGCGGUAGGCCAGCUACAGUUCAGUUGUAAUACCAAUCAGUAAAUUUUGAAAGCACCACAAAUCAGUUGUGUGUGUGUGUGCAUUGUGAGAAAUUGUUCUAUAAGCUAAUGUGAAGAGUAGUGUAGCUUUUGCGGCCAUUAUUUAGGCAAAUUAAGUCUGUUAACAUUGGUUACUAGAAAGAUUUAUUCAAAAGGAGAGCAUUGUGAAUGCAACUUUGCUGUCUUUUAAGCUUACAAUUCUUUCCAAGACUUAGCAAUGUUUGCUUUGUCUCAAAAUUAAGUGUGAUACAUGCAGAGGUGCUCUCAAAAAAUGCUCAUCAGUCUCUGUACAUAUUUAAGAACAUUUUAUUUACGACUUUAACUAAGACAAUCUUAUUUUUGUUGCAUUGAUAAUGAAGAUACCUAAGUUCUUUGUAAACAAGUGUCAUUUACUAAGGACUGACUGUGUUAGUCAUAUUCAUGGCAACCAUGCAUACUCCAUCACAUUUAUAUUUAUUUAAUUAACUGCAUUUUUACUGUUUCCUUAAGUAUCGAUGAGCCAUUAUGGAAGGUUGUGUCUGUGUAGAGACAGGAUACAGCCUUUCUGCAUGCUGUUAAUUUUACCUUGCUUAACAUGCACUCUUACACAUUGUUGCACUCGUUUCUGCUACCAUUAGUAGUUUAUGCAACCAUUUAACGUGUAGUUAAACUGAGGCAAUAGUGUUAUUGAUUGGCUGUAUUUGGUUGUGUAAAUUGGAUAUGUGGCUUUUGCAUAUGAAUCCAUGCGUUUUCAUGCCAGUGAAAAUCUGCUGGCACAUAAAAUGCACAUGCAGUGCAAUCUACUCAUGGUCUGUGCAACAACGAAAAUAAAAUAGUACAUUUGUUGCAGUAUUUCAGUUAGACAUGCUUAUUAAGUGCACACUGCUACGACCAAUAUGCAUGGUAUAGUAUGCCAGUACUAAUCCAUUAGUGUCACAAUCAGUGGUCCUUCAGACUUUGUAAAAGUAGAACAAUUUGCAGGCAUGGUGUUCUAACGUUGAGAGUGGCUGAACAAAAUGAGUGGACUGCAAUUUACUGUCUGCACUCUUGUGUGUGCUUAGGCUGAACUGCAACACCUGUUUCAGCUGUAUCUUAAAUUCUUUUUAAAUAAUGGGGCAUAAUAAAAAUUGCUUUUCCUGCCAUACGUGUGUAGCGGCAGAUGUCAGAAUUUUUACGAAAGUCUUCAAUUAUGUUUCAUAACAACUUUGCCGCACAUUAUUAAAGUUGGUGAGUGCUGACGCCCUGUGCUCACUAAAAAUCCUUCUACUAGCAUGAGCUUAGGCAAAUUUCUUGGCACAAUCUGCCAUGGGGUACAUAGCUGUUCCACAGACUGUUUUCUUGCAGUUUAAAAAUUAGCGUAGCUUGCACUGGAUGCGCAAUGCUAAAGAGACAGUGGAGCUGAUUGGCAUCUAGGUAGUCCUGGCUUUUGGGCUAGGAUAAGCGCUACCAGGUCAUCCCCAGCAUUUUCCGUAAUUGAUUGAUUAUUGAUUGAUUGUCGAUUAGCCAUUGAUUGGCUAUCGCUACUUGUUAGGCUAAGCA